rnacentral:lncRNA from 12 species
AUGAGAAAGGUCACUCGCAGGGAAGUGGGGUCCCACAAGCCAUCGUUCACUGGUGGACCGCAUACGGAGAAGCUUCGGGCCCAGCAAACCCUGAACCCAUCCUGCUCCUGUGGCCGGGGAUUGGCGCUGAGGCCCAGAGGAGCCCGGAGAUGGCACUGGGUCCCAGGGAAAGGCCAUGCCCUGCUCUGCGCUGAGCAGUGUGCAUCUCUCCCAGGUGGGCAGGCUCACACGCUGUCACCCCCGCUGCCCUACAGCCUGCUCUUACCCGAGGAUGUCUGGGAUGCCCGGAACAGAUGCCGUCUCUUUCCUAUGGGUCUUUCACUUCCAGAACAGGCCCAGCUGGAACUGGGGGCCGGGGGUCCAGGGAUCAGGAGGCGGGCAGAAGUGGUGACCCCACACUCCCAGCAAGCUGGGCGGGGCCGAGGUGAGCUCAAUCUUGGGUUCCCAGUUUGGCCCAGCUCCAGCCAGCUUCUGGCUACAGCCUCCCCCGCCCCCCGACUCCCCAGCAAUGAUGGCCCAGUGCACAGAGACGUCCCAGCUUUUGCCGUCAGGACAGAUAAACAGUCGGCCUGCUGUUUAUUCCUGCUGAGACCACCAGGCCCCUCUCUCUGGAGCUGGGGCAGCAGCUCACAAUGGUGAUGAGAGAAGCCCUUCAUCUGCCUGGGCUGUGAGAUCUGCUGGUCGCCACCCUGGGUGUUGGGGGGAGGGGUGGUGGGGUGGGACCCAGAGGUCGCAGUCUCUGAGCCAAGCCUGGCAUUCAGCUCCAGAGAGGAGCCACCAGGCCCCAGGGAGUAGGGGAGGGGUGCUGGGCCUCCUAUGGCCUCUUGGGUCAGGGGCUGGGUGUGGGAGCAUGCAGGUUGGGAGUGUGGAUGCUGGUCUGUGGUGGAGUCAGGCCUAGAGCCGACAGAGGGGUGGGCAGGGUGGGGAGACAGCUUCCAGGGACAGGCCCCGUAGUGUACAGGAAGGGGGACCCCUAGACCUGGCCCAAACCCAGAUGCCUGCAGCUGGCACCUCUCCCUCAGUGCCCCUGCUGGCUUCUGCCCACCCGCCGCUUUAGGAGGUCUGAUGGGAUGGGAGGCAGUGUCUGGGCCCCAGGGUCUGAGGUCCUCCUCAGCCCCUUCCACUGCCAGGCAGUGCCCCUAGGGCACCCCAGUCCAGGCAGCCCUAGCCCAGGCAGCCUGUGGAGGGAAGAGCUCCAGGAAGGGCCAGUGAGCAUGCUGGUGCUCCAUGUCCUCAUAUCUCCUCCGGGCAGUGGGCGAGGAUGCCCUGAUAGCCUCACCCACAGAUCACUGUCCCUGUGGGGGACUCAGUUUCCUUCCCAGUGAAGCAGGUUAGUGGUACUGACUCUGUGCCCGUAGGGGUCCGGGACACCAUCCUCUGGAGCCCAGGGCUUGCUGGCUCAUUGUUUGUGCUCAGUGGAGGUGGCUCUGCCUGCCUUGGCCAGCACCCUUGUAGGGCCAGGUCGGCAGCGCUGACUGGGUGGAGGGCAUCUGCGGUCUCAGCUUCCACGGCCCCCCACCAUCCAAGGCCUGUGGCCCUGGGAUCCUGAGCUGUUCUGAGAGUGGCCUCCUGGGGUGACCGCCCAUGGUCAUUGCAUGCAGGCGCCAGCAGAGGGAGGCCGCGCUCCAUGCACAGCCGGGCCUUCACCGGGAUGCUCCCUCCUAGGUGCCUGCAGGAGGGAGGGUGGCGGGGGCCCUCUGGCCUCACAAAGGCCGAGGUCUCAGCCAUCUGCAGGGCCCAGGAGGUGGGGACCCAGGUUUGGUCUCCGAGGGCUGUGGAUGAUGGCCUUCUGGCGCCCACUCUCCCAGCUGGCUGGCCCUCCGAGCAUCCGUGUGGUUCUCCUGAGCUUGGGCUGGGCACCGAUGUACACCCAUAGUGUGGGAGGGGAGACAGAGGCAGGUAGGAGGGCAAGGGGCUCUCAUGGUUCUUGGACAGGAGCCCUGUCAGGUUCUAACCACGGGGCGGGGGUGGGGACCCAGGAAUGGGGGCCUGACCGGUAGCAACCAUGGCUAUGUCUUUCCUGUGCUGGCUCAUGUUGAUCCCAUCGGCUCUCCUGCAGGGGCCAGUGAUCCACAGGCAGGCCUGCACGACAUGAUCGUGAGCUGUACCUCCCCCCCAACCCCAGCUGGGAACUCCGAAUGGACGGAGCCCAAGAGGUGGCCCCACAGGCAGGUGGUGGGUUCAGCCCAUCAGUGUUGGGAAGCCGAGCCCCGUGGGGGCCCCAGGGGAGCUACAGCCCCUGCCCACGUACCCAGGGCUGAAGCAAGCUGUCCUUCAAAGCUGCCAAGGACGUCUCGCAAUGAGCCACAGUGAGAGCCACUGUUCACGCUUGACUGAGUGGGGCUGGGGUGGUGCUGUUGGAAACCAAUACAGCAGCAGCCCGGGAAACACUUGGAACCGGCGGUCCUGGGCUGGGGGCACACGGCUGGCACGACGGGAAGCACCAUGAGUGCAGAGGGUGCAGGUGUCUGUCGCGGCAUUACUUACACUGCUUGGAGUCCGCUUCAGCUCACAGGUCAAGUGAGAAGAGAUGGACACGGCCUGGGUAUUAGUCUCCAGUGGCUGCUGUAACAAGUCACCUCUAUCGUAGUGGCUUAAAGCCUCACAAAUGCAUUGUCUUAGCGUUCUGGGGGCCAGAGUCCUACUCAAGGUGUGGGCAGGGCCGCGUUCCUUCUGGAGGCUCCAGGGGAGCACCAUCUGUUGCCAGCCUUUCUGUCUUGAUGGGUAUAUUAAUGCAAGUGGCACAUCCUAUCUGAGAUGGAGGCAAGUGCCCUGGAACAGCCCGGUGGGCUAGUCUCGGGCCUGGGUGCCCUGGGAGUGCCCUCUGCUGUGGGUCCCGAGCUGAGACUCCCCCAGCCUGUGGCCCAAUCUCGGAAAUCCACGUGGCAGGCUCUGCCUGGGGGCACCUUGGGUCACAGGAAGGGCAAGGGGGGACCAAUGGGGCCCCAGAACAGGGAGUAUGGGCCCAUCCUGUCCAGCGAUGGCUCCAGGUACUCUGUCCUCUCUGUUGGAGCUUCCAAGGCCAGAGCCAGACUCGCACACACCUGGAGGGCCUCCCUUGGUUGAGGUAUCUCUGACAUCGGGGACCCAUGUACGACCUCUGGGGCAACCCUUGGGCCGAGCAGUGUGGGGACAGGGGCUUGGGGUCCAGCCACCAUGGGACCCACAGGCGGGAGUGAAGGUUGGAGGUCAGGCUGCUGGACUUAGUGUGCAGGGACCCCAGCCAAGGGGUGGGACCUGUCGGAGCCUUGGUCGUCAUCGGCAGCAGGAAGCCUGCGGUUCUGGAGAACUUGAGAGGGCCGUGGGCCUGGCAGUUCCUUUGGGGACCUGGGGGUUGCCAGGAACACCUUUCCUCAUUCCCCAAAAAAAUUCCCGGCACCCCCCCCCCCCCCAUCUCCCCGCAACAAAGCUAAGCUGCUUUUGGAAAAAAGAAGGAAAGCCAAACUAAACAAGCCUGGCCUUUGAGACCUCCAGCGCUGUCUACGGACUGAGCGGGCUUUGAUGGGGCAGGGGCUGGGCUGUGCACCUGGGAAUGUGGGGACCACGUGGCUGCAGGCAGAAGGCCCGACAGCAGUCCCAUCAGGCCUCCCCUUGACUCCCUUGGGUGCCCCAUCCUCGCACAUGGGCUUCCCGGUCCCUGAGCCCAGUGGGCCACCAUGCAGGGCCCUCUAUCCCGAGGGUUAAAGCAUGUUCCCCUGUCCCCCUGGGGGGAUGGAGGGCUUUCCCAGGGGGAGGGGCACACAUCCCACAGGGCACUUGCCUGCUAGGGAGUGGAGGGGACUCAGGUACCGUCACCUGGUAUCGCCUUGUGGGGUCAUUAGACUCCUCCAGUGGACUGGUCCCCGUCCCUGCUCCUCCGGCCGCCCUGGACUCCGCUCAUGCCCCUGGGGACCGGAUGAGGCCUCUGGGCGGCUGGGCCGGGACUGGGGGGUCACAGAGGCCCUGGUUUAACGAGCAGCACGUGUGCGCCCGGCUCGGCUUCCUGCAGAGCGCUCGCCCAGAGGACUGGUGCUUGGCGACCACGGAAUUUGGCUCCUUCCCAGUGUCACAACCAUGGGGAGCUCCCCACCCCGCAGCGACAGUCUUGGCCAGACUUGGCCAGGCGGGCGUGGUGGGGCCCGUGGGGGGCCUGCGUCCAAAUUCAGGGGGCAAACCCAGGGUGGGAGCAGCGGCGUGGGCGGAGAUGCCCGCGCGCAGGAGCCAUUAACCACCAGGUAACAGAUUUGAUUAAUUUUGUGCCUGGAGGGGUUUUUUUUCUUUUCCCAAAGAAUCAGAGAAAACAAAAUAUUUUUCUAAUUAAAUAAAUCUACGGUGCACGCUAAUGGAGCCCGUCUG